ensembl:rRNA 5S_rRNA 5S ribosomal RNA
GUCUAUGGCCAUGCUACCCUAAACAAGCCUGAGCCCGAUCCCGGCUGAUCUCAGAAGCUAAGCAGAGUUGGGCCUGGUUAGUACUUGGAUGGAAGACUACCUAGGAAGACCAGGUGCUGUAGACA